rnacentral:lncRNA from 1 species
GUCUCAUGCAUGGAUGUGUCUUGCUACAGCCCAAUGGGUGAAGCUAUGCUCACCUGUUCCUUUGUAAUAUAACUCCUUGCCCUGUUUAGGAUAGAAUCUUCCAUGGAAGUGCCUUGUGUGUCCCCUUCUCUUACUGUGCCUUUGGGUGUGGCCUACCCAGAUGGCAGUCAACCUGCUGACAGUGGAUAUCAUGACGAUAGACUCAUCCCCCUGAAACCUGACCCCUUGCCUCAUUUGAAUAGUUUAUCCUCAAUAAAAGUCAGCACGUGCUCUCAUUCUCUCUUUCUGUGGACCCUUAAGGUCAGAGGAGCUGUCACAGCGACCCCAAAGAAAAAGGUAAUUGUGUCUCUUGUGUGGUUAUUUUGCGCAGCCCAGUUAGCCCAGUUCAACUGGAGUAACCCCUGAGCCUUUUAGUCAUGAGAAUAGAAACCUGGCACAAACAACAAUAAGUGUUGGAGAGGAUGUGGGGAAAAAGGUACACUCAUACUCUGCUGGUGGGACUGCAAAUUGGUGCAGCCAAUAUGGAAAGCAGUAUGGAGAUUCCUUGGAAAAACUGGGAAUGGAACCACCAUUUGACCCAGCUAUACCUCUCCUUGGUCUAUACCCAAAGGACUUAAAAACAGCAUACUACAGGGACACAGCCACAUCAAUGUUUAUAGUAGCACAAUUCACAAUAGCUAAACUGUUGAACCAACCUAGAUGCCCUUCAACAGAUGAAUGGAUAAAAAAAAUGUGGCAUAUAUACACAAUGGAAUAUUACUCA